rnacentral:misc_RNA from 1 species
GAUGAAGAGCGUAGCGAAAUGCGAUAAGUAAUGUGAAUUGCAGAAUUCAGUGAAUCAUCGAAUCUUUGAACGCACAUUGCGCCCCUUGGUAUUCCGAGGGGCAUGCCUGUUCGAGCGUCAUUAUAACCCCUCAAGCUCGGCUUGGUGUUGGGGCCUGCCGCACGGGCAGCCCUUAAAAUCAGUGGCGGUGCCAUCUGGCUCUAAGCGUAGUAAUUCUUCUCGCUAUAGAGUCCCGGUGGAUGCUUGCCAUUAACCCCCAAUUUCAAUGGUUGACCUCGGAUCAGGUAGGGAUACCCGCUGAACUUAAGCAUAUCAAUAAGCGGUGGA